ensembl:snRNA U2 U2 spliceosomal RNA
AUCGCUUCUCGGCCUUUUGGCUAAGAUCAAGUGUAGUAUCUGUUCUUAUCAGUUUAAUAUCUGAUACGUCCCCUACCCGGGGACCAUAUAUUAAAUUGAUUUUUGGAGCAGGGAGAUGGAAUAGGGGCUUGCUCCGUCCACUCCACGCAUCGACCCGGUAUUGCAGUACUUCCGGGACGGUGCACCCCCC